GAUGAACGCUGGCGGCGUGCCUAAUACAUGCAAGUCGAGCGAACGGACGAGAAGCUUGCUUCUCUGAUGUUAGCGGCGGACGGGUGAGUAACACGUGGAUAACCUACCUAUAAGACUGGGAUAACUUCGGGAAACCGGAGCUAAUACCGGAUAAUAUUUUGAACCGCAUGGUUCAAAAGUGAAAGACGGUCUUGCUGUCACUUAUAGAUGGAUCCGCGCUGCAUUAGCUAGUUGGUAAGGUAACGGCUUACCAAGGCAACGAUGCAUAGCCGACCUGAGAGGGUGAUCGGCCACACUGGAACUGAGACACGGUCCAGACUCCUACGGGAGGCAGCAGUAGGGAAUCUCACGCAAUGGGCGAAAGCCUGACGGAGCAACGCCGCGUGAGUGAUGAAGGUCUUCGGAUCGUAAAACUCUGUUAUUAGGGAAGAACAUAUGUGUAAGUAACUGUGCACAUCUUGACGGUACCUAAUCAGAAAGCCACGGCUAACUACGUG
rnacentral:rRNA from 1 species